rnacentral:rRNA from 1 species
UAACGCGUGGGCAACCUGCCUUACACAGGGGGAUAACAGUUAGAAAUGACUGCUAAAACCGCAUAAGCGCACAUUGUCGAGUGACAGAGUGUGAAAAACUCCGGUGGUAUGAGAUGGACCCGCGUCUGAUUAGCUAGUUGGUGAGGUAACGGCCCACCAAGGCGACGAUCAGUAGCCGGCCUGAGAGGGCGACCGGCCACAUUGGGACUGAGACACGGCCCAAACUCCUACGGGAGGCAGCAGUGGGGAAUAUUGCACAAUGGGGGAAACCCUGAUGCAGCGACGCCGCGUGAGUGAAGAAGUAUUUCGGUAUGUAAAGCUCUAUCAGCAGGGAAGAAGAAAGACGGUACCUGACUAAGAAGCCCCGGCUAACUACGUGCCAGCAGCCGCGGUAAUACGUAGGGGGCAAGCGUUAUCCGGAUUUACUGGGUGUAAAGGGAGCGUAGACGGCUGUGCAAGUCUGAAGUGAAAGCCCAGGGCUCAACCCUGGGACUGCUUUGGAAACUGUGGAGCUAGAGUGCUGGAGAGGUAAGUGGAAUUCCUAGUGUAGCGGUGAAAUGCGUAGAUAUUAGGAGGAACACCAGUGGCGAAGGCGGCUUACUGGACAGUAACUGACGUUGAGGCUCGAAAGCGUGGGGAGCAAACAGGAUUAGAUACCCUGGUAGU